rnacentral:rRNA from 1 species
AGGAUGAACGCUAGCGGCAGGCUUAAUACAUGCAAGUCGUGGGGCAGCAGGUCUGUAGCAAUACAGAUGCUGGCGACCGGCAAACGGGUGCGGAACACGUACGCAACUUUCCUUCAAGCGGGGAAUAGCCCAGGGAAACUUGGAUUAAUACCCCAUAAUUUUAUGAAGUGGCAUCACUUUAUAACUAAAGCUCCGGCACUUGAAGAUGGGCGUGCGGCUGAUUAGGUAGUUGGCGGGGUAACGGCCCACCAAGCCUACGAUCAGUAACUGGUGUGAGAGCACGACCAGUCACACGGGCACUGAGACACGGGCCCGACUCCUACGGGAGGCAGCAGUACGGAUAUGGCAUGGACGCAAGUCUGACCAGCCAUGCCGCGUGGAGGAUGAAGGUCCUCGUGGAUUAGUAACUUUCUUUUAGUCGUAGGAAGUAAUCCUAUUAUUUUCUAUGUGUUGACGGUACCAGAUAAGAGACACGUCGUACU